UGAAUCUGAUGGAGAAGGUUUGCCAAGACAAGCUGAAAAAGAUGCACGAAGCCAAGUGAAUGAUAUUGAGGUAACAAGGGAUGAAAAUAUGGUGAAUCGUAGAUCUGGACGGCAAGCCAAGAAGGUCAAGGACGUCAACUCCCUUUACUAUUAGGUAACAAGUUACUUUUUCUUAUAUGAGCUAGCUUCUGGUUGUAUAUUUUUCUUCAUACUGCACUCAUGUUUUUGCGUUAGUAAUAAAUAACAUGGUAGAAGCUUACUGCCUGGACAUACUUUGCAAUGCUAGCAUCCAUGCCGUUUAUAUAAUUUGUAAUGCUAGACAUUUUUGUUUCAUGUACACAUAACUGAUGUUUUGUAUUGCAAUAUUUAUGAAGCCUCUGACCAUAUUUGCAUUUUUGUUUCAUGCAAGACUGAAGACUGGAAGAAAAUUGAAGUCUACCUGAUGUGUUUUGGAGGCGCUGGUUUGAACUUCGAUUACUUCUGCUCUAUGACUUGUGGAUUGUGAAUCUGGACUAUUGUGUGUGUAUUUUGGACUCGUAGUAGGGAUUGGUGUGUGGGUAUUUUGGACUGUAAUUUGAAGUUCUAAUAUGCACUGUUAUGUGUGUACCUUGGGCUAAUAUGGACUGUUAACUAGCCUAUUGAGUAGAUCUGGACUACUGGAUGUUAUAUCAUGCUCUGAACCGAUGUUUACCAUUGAGAUGGAGUUCUAAUCUGGUAUAACAUGUAAAUUGCUGCUUUGUGAUUCUAUAUUUUGCUUGUACAUGUUUUCUUGUGGCUAUUUCAAAUUUCUGGGCAAAUUUCGGUCAAUUUC
rnacentral:lncRNA from 1 species